UACGUAGGGUGCAGGCGUUAAUCGGAAUUACUGGGCGUAAAGCGUGCGCAGGCGGUUUUGUAAGCCAGAUGUGAAAGCCCCGGGCUCAACCUGGGAAUGGCAUUUGGGACUGCAAGGCUGGAGUUUGGCAGAGGAGACUGGAAUUCCCGGUGUAGCAGUGAAAUGCGUAGAGAUCGGCAGGAACACCCAGGGGGAAACCAGCCGACUGGGCAUCUACUGACGCUGAGGUGCGAGAGCGUGGGGAGCGAACCGGAUUGAGAGUACCCCU
rnacentral:rRNA from 1 species